AGGCUGCAACUCGCCUGCAUGAAGUUGGAAUUGCUAGUAAUCGCGAAUCAGAAUGUCGCGGUGAAUACGUUCCCGGGCCUUGUACACACCGCCCGUCACACCAUGAGAGUCGAUAACACCCGAAGCCUGUGAGCUAACCGCAAGGGGGCAGCAGUCGAAGGUGGGGUUGAUGAUUGGGGUGAAGUCGUAACAAGGUACC
rnacentral:rRNA from 1 species